rnacentral:rRNA from 1 species
CCUACGGGUGGCAGCAGUCGAGAAUCAUUCACAAUGGGGGAAACCCUGAUGGUGCGACGCCGCGUGGGGGAAUGAAGGUCUUCGGAUUGUAAACCCCUGUCAUGUGGGAGCAAAUUAAAAAGAUAGUACCACAAGAGGAAGAGACGGCUAACUCGGUGACAGCAGCCGCGGUAAUACAGAGGUCUCAAGCGUUGUUCGGAAUCACUGGGCGUAAAGCGUGCGUAGGCUGUUUCGUAAGUCGUGUGUGAAAGGCGAGGGCUCAACCCGCGGACGGCACAUGAUACUGCGAGACUAGAGUAAUGGAGGGGAAACCGGAAUUCUCGGUGUAGCAGUGAAAUGCGUAGAUAUCGAGAGGAACACUCGUGGCGAAGGCGGGUUCCUGGACAUUAACUGACGCUGAGGCACGAAGGCCAGGGGAGCGAAAGGGAUUAGAUACCCCUGUAGUC